rnacentral:rRNA from 1 species
GAUGAACGCUGGCGGCGUGCCUAAUACAUGCAAGUCGAGCGAACGGACGAGAAGCUUGCUUCUCUGAUGUUAGCGGCGGACGGGUGAGUAACACGUGGAUAACCUACCUAUAAGACUGGGAUAACUUCGGGAAACCGGAGCUAAUACCGGAUAAUAUUUUGAACCGCAUGGUUCAAAAGUGAAAGACGGUCUUGCUUUCACUUAUAGAUGGAUCCGCGCUGCAUUAGCUAGUUGGUAAGGUAACGGCUUACCAAGGCAACGAUGCAUAGCCGACCUGAGCGGGUGAUCCGCCACACUGGCACUGAGGCACGGUCCAGACUCCUACGGGAGGACGCAGUAGGGAAUCUUCCGCGAUGGACGAAAGCCUGACGGAGCAACGCCGCGUGAGUGAUGAAGGUCUUCGGAUCGUAAAACUCUGUUAUUAGGGAAGAACAUAUGUGUAAGUAACUGUGCACAUCUUGACGGUACCUAAUCAGAAAGCCACGGCUAACUACGUG